AAGAAACAGCAAACCACUCCAGGAUCUUUGCCAAGAAAACCUCACGGACAAUAUGCAUGGAGUCAUGAAGAGUCAGAUCCAACUGAAUGACAUUCAAGAGGAAGGGACAGUUGACCAUGAGAAAAGCUAAGGAGAGGAGAGCCAAGCAAAGGUCCAGGUGGACCAGUGGCCCAUUAUGUUGUCCCCAGGCUAAAUGUGAGCUAGCCUUUGUCAUAAGGUUGGCUCCUUUUUGACCUCCAGUCAUGCCAGGCUGCUGACGGUGGAGAAUCUCCCUGGGCUCUCAAGGAAUCCAGACUGAGCAAUUUCCCAAGGGCAGAGACUGUUCACUUUUGUCUUUAGAUGGGAUGGGCGUCUUCCAUGCCUAGCACACAGCCCACUUAAUAAACGCUUAAUUGAUUGUUCUUUUCA
rnacentral:lncRNA from 1 species